rnacentral:rRNA from 1 species
AACGAACGCUGGCGGCAUGCCUAACACAUGCAAGUCGAACGAGACCUUCGGGUCUAGUGGCGCACGGGUGCGUAACGCGUGGGAAUCUGCCCUUGGGUUCGGAAUAACAGUUAGAAAUGACUGCUAAUACCGGAUAAUGACGUAAGUCCAAAGAUUUAUCGCCCAAGGAUGAGCCCGCGUAGGAUUAGCUUGUUGGUGAGGUAAAGGCUCACCAAGGUGACGAUCCUUAGCUGGUCUGAGAGGAUGAUCAGCCACACUGGGACUGAGACACGGCCCAGACUCCUACGGGAGGCAGCAGUGGGGAAUAUUGGACAAUGGGCGAAAGCCUGAUCCAGCAAUGCCGCGUGAGUGAUGAAGGCCUUAGGGUUGUAAAGCUCUUUUACCCGGGAUGAUAAUGACAGUACCGGGAGAAUAAGCCCCGGCUAACUCCGUGCCAGCAGCCGCCGUAAGAC